rnacentral:rRNA from 1 species
UGGGUAACCUGCCUCAAAGAGGGGAAUAGCCUCCCGAAAGGGAGAUUAAUACCGCAUAAUAUGUUUAGGUCGCAUGACUUUAACAUCAAAGGAUUUUUCUUUUAAGAAACUUCCACUUUGAGAUGGACCCGCGGCGCAUUAGCUAGUUGGUGAGGUAACGGCUCACCAAGGCAACGAUGCGUAGCCGACCUGAGAGGGUNAUCGGCCACAUUGGAACUGAGACACGGUCCAGACUCCGUAGGAG